rnacentral:rRNA from 1 species
GUAGGGUGCAAGCGUUAAUCGGAAUUACUGGGCGUAAAGCGUGCGCAGGCGGUGAUGUAAGACAGUUGUGAAAUCCCCGGGCUCAACCUGGGAACUGCAUCUGUGACUGCAUCGCUGGAGUGCGGCAGAGGGGGAUGGAAUUCCGCGUGUAGCAGUGAAAUGCGUAGAUAUGCGGAGGAACACCGAUGGCGAAGGCAAUCCCCUGGGCCUGCACUGACGCUCAUGCACGAAAGCGUGGGGAGCAAACAGGAUUAGAUACCCUGGUAGUCCACGCCCUAAACGAUGUCAACUGGUUGUUGGGAAUUCACUUUCUCAGUAACGAAGCUAACGCGUGAAGUUGACCGCCUGGGGAGUACGGCCGCAAGGUUGAA